CUGUGAAUAUUAUCAUCAUUCUGAUGUUGUGAUAAUCAGGGCAGGUGCUAAGCCUUCGCUCUAAUAAGACCAUGCGAGUGUCCCAGACCUAGUUCGUUACCUACCUAGGUCUGCUGUGAGAAAUGCUGGUGAUUAAU